AUUGAACGCUGGCGGCAUGCUUUACACAUGCAAGUCGAACGGUAACAGGCCUUCGGGUGCUGACGAGUGGCGCACGGGUGAGUAAUGCAUCGGAACGUACCCAGAGGUGGGGGAUAACGCAGCGAAAGCUGUGCUAAUACCGCAUGUGAUCUGAGGAUGAAAGCGGGGGACCGAGCAGCAAUGUUUGGCCUCGCGCCUUUGGAGCGGCCGAUGUCGGAUUAGCUAGUUGGUGGGGUAAAGGCCUACCAAGACGACGAUCCGUAGCUGGUCUGAGAGGACGACCAGCCACACUGGGACUGAGACACGGCCCAGACUCCUACGGGAGGCAGCAGUGGGGAAUUUUGGACAAUGGGCGCAAGCCUGAUCCAGCAAUGCCGCGUGCGGGAAGAAGGCCUUCGGGUUGUAAACCGCUUUUGGCAGGAACGAAACGGUGUCCGCUAAUACCGGGCGCUAAUGACGGUACCUGCAGAAUAAGCACCGGCUAACUACGUG
rnacentral:rRNA from 1 species